rnacentral:rRNA from 1 species
UACGUAGGGGGCAAGCGUUAUCCGGAUUUACUGGGUGUAAAGGGAGCGUAGACGGCGGUGCAAGCCAGAUGUGAAAGCCCGGGGCUCAACCCCGGGACUGCAUUUGGAACUGUGCUGCUAGAGUGUCGGAGAGGCAGGCGGAAUUCCUAGUGUAGCGGUGAAAUGCGUAGAUAUUAGGAGGAACACCAGUGGCGAAGGCGGCCUGCUGGACGAUGACUGACGUUGAGGCCCGAAAGCGUGGGGAGCAAACAGG